ACCCUGCAGCCAAAGAAGCUA
rnacentral:miRNA from 1 species